rnacentral:rRNA from 1 species
CAAGCGGAGGGCGAGUCGCUGGACGCGUUCCCCGGCAAGCUCGGAGGGAUGGAAGCGCGCUUCGCUGGGCUCGGCUCAACUCUUGAGGACGCCUCGCUCGUGAAGAGGCUGCUCGACUCGGUGCCGAACCGCCUGUACGCGGCGGUGGCCGGGAUCGAGCAGUUUUGCGAUGUCGGGAUGAUGGCGUUCGAGGAGGCCCUGGGUCGUCUGAAGGCCCUUGACAAACGGCUAUGGCGACGCGAGCAAACGGGCGGCGAGCGAUCGGAAGACGCACUCAUGUUCACGGCGGCGCAAUGGCGGGCGCGGGAGUGGCGGCAGGGAGGUGUGCAGCACGACAACGUUUGGAGCGAGGCGUGGGGAAGGGGUGGCAAUGGGUGCGGCUGCUGCUAUAAGUGUGGUGAGCGUGGCCAUUUCAAGCGUGAGUGCCCGCUGCUGCGCAAGGCACCGGCGGUGGAGCCCGCGCUGCUGGCGGACGGCGUCAUCGAGUACGUCGGGCUCCACUGA